rnacentral:tRNA from 1 species
GCUGAUGGCUCAGUUGGUAGAGUGCUUGCCUCACAUGUACAAGCCCUGGGCUCAAUCCCCAGCACCA